CCUACGGGAGGCAGCAGUGGGGAAUUUUGGACAAUGGGCGAAAGCCUGAUCCAGCAAUGCCGCGUGUGGGAAGAAGGCCUUCGGGUUGUAAACCACUUUUGUACGGAACGAAACGGUUCGCUUUAAUACAGUGGGCUAAUGACGGUACCGUAAGAAUAAGCACCGGCUAACUACGUGCCAGCAGCCGCGGUAAUACGUAGGGUGCGAGCGUUAAUCGGAAUUACUGGGCGUAAAGCGUGCGCAGGCGGUCAUAUAAGACAGUUGUGAAAUCCCCGGGCUCAACCUGGGAAUUGCAUCUGUGACUGUAUAGCUAGAGUACGGUAGAGGGGGAUGGAAUUCCGCGUGUAGCAGUGAAAUGCGUAGAUAUGCGGAGGAACACCGAUGGCGAAGGCAAUCCCCUGGACCUGUACUGACGCUCAUGCACGAAAGCGUGGGGAGCAAACAGGAUUAGAUACCCUGGUAGUCCACGCCCUAAACGAUGUCAACUGGUUGUUGGGUGCAUUAGUACUCAGUAACGAAGCUAACGCGUGAAGUUGACCGCCGNGGGAGGUACGGCCGCGAGGUUAGUAACGUACGAAGAAGUUAGACGGCGUGAGACGUGCCGACGGACGACGACGAGGGAGGAGG
rnacentral:rRNA from 1 species